rnacentral:rRNA from 1 species
AGUGAACGCUGGCGGUAGGCCUAACACAUGCAAGUCGAACGGCAGCACAGUAAGAGCUUGCUCUUACUGGUGGCGAGUGGCGUACGGGUGAGGAAUUCAUCGGAAUCUACUUUUUCGUGGGGGAUAACGUAGGGAAACUUCCGCUAAUACCGCAUACGACCUUCGGGUUAAUGCAGAGUCUCUUCCCACCUUUUGCGUCUGCAUCAGCCGAUUUCGGUUUAGCUAGUUUGGGGGGUAAAGGCCCACCAAGGCGACGAUCCGUAGCUGGUCUGAGAGGAGGAUCAGAAACAGGGGAACGGAGACACGGAGCAGAAACGUACGGGAGGCAGCAGUGGGGAAUAUUGGAGAAGGGGCGGAAGCCUGAUACAGCAAAACCGCGUGGGUGAAGAAGGGCUUCGGGUUGUAAAGCACUUUUGUUGGGAAAGAAAAGCAGCAGGUUAAUACCCAGCUGUUCUGACGGUACCCAAAGAAGAAGCACCGGCUAACUCCGUG